AGUGAACGCUGGCGGUAGGCCUAACACAUGCAAGUCGAACGGCAGCACAGUAAGAGCUUGCUCUUACGGGUGGCGAGUGGCGGACGGGUGAGGAAUACAUCGGAAUCUACUUUUUCGUGGGGGAUAACGUAGGGAAACUUACGCUAAUACCGCAUACGACCUACGGGUGAAAGCAGGGGAUCUUCGGACCUUGCGCGAUUGAAUGAGCCGAUGUCGGAUUAGCUAGUUGGCGGGGUAAAGGCCCACCAAGGCGACGAUCCGUAGCUGGUCUGAGAGGAUGAUCAGCCACACUGGAACUGAGACACGGUCCAGACUCCUACGGGAGGCUGCAGUGGGAAUAUUGGACAAUGGGCGCAAGCCUGAUCCAGCCAUACCGCGUGGGUGAAGAAGGCCUUCGGGUUGUAAAGCCCUUUUGUUGGGAAAGAAAAGCAGCAGGUUAAUACCCCGCUGUUCUGACGGUACCCAAAGAAUAAGCACCGGCUAACUUCGUG
rnacentral:rRNA from 1 species